AUUGAACGCUGGCGGCAGGCCUAACACAUGCAAGUCGAGCGGAUGAAGGGAGCUUGCUCCUGGAUUCAGCGGCGGACGGGUGAGUAAUGCCUAGGAAUCUGCCUGGUAGUGGGGGAUAACGUCCGGAAACGGGCGCUAAUACCGCAUACGUCCUGAGGGAGAAAGUGGGGGAUCUUCGGACCUCACGCUAUCAGAUGAGCCUAGGUCGGAUUAGCUAGUUGGUGGGGUAAAGGCCUACCAAGGCGACGAUCCGUAACUGGUCUGAGAGGAUGAUCAGUCACACUGGAACUUAGAUACGGUCCAGACUCCUACGGGAGGCAGCAGUGGGGAAUAUUGGACAAUGGGCGAAAGCCUGAUCCAGCCAUGCCGCGUGUGUGAAGAAGGUCUUCGGAUUGUAAAGCACUUUAAGUUGGGAGGAAGGGCAGUAAGUUAAUACCUUGCUGUUUUGACGUUACCAACAGAAUAAGCACCGGCUAACUUCGUG
rnacentral:rRNA from 1 species